rnacentral:rRNA from 1 species
UACGUAGGUGGCAAGCGUUGUCCGGAUUUUAUUGGGUUUAAAGGGUGCGUAGGCGGCCCUGUAAGUCAGUGCUGAAAUAUCCCAGCUUAACUGGGAGGGUGGCAUUGAUACUGCGGGCUAGAGUACAGAUGAGGUAGGCGGAAUUGACGGUGUAGCGGUAAAAUGCUUUAGAUAUCGUCAAAGAACACCUAUAGCGAAGGCAGCUUACUAGGCUGUAACUACGUGAGGCACGAAAAGUGUGGGGAUCAAAACAGGG